rnacentral:lncRNA from 1 species
CUGGGAGUAGAAACGUGAUCAGACUGAGGGCUCUCCACCCUCGGAUUCUCCUUUUUAGGGAAGACAGGAUGACUGGCCCAAGUGGCCCGACCUACUACCGGAUCUUGGAACUUCGAUGAUGCUCUUUCCAACCGCACUGAUGCCUACGGCUAUUGCUGCUACUGCUGCAUGGCCUGAACUGCUUCGGUGAGGCUUUUGACCUGCUGAACCAGUAGGUCGAACUGCUCCAUAUCGACCGUCGUUGUCGGAGGAGGAGGAGCCUGAAAAAUUGGAGGCGAGGCCAGAGCCUGAGAUCUGGCCGCGGAGGUCGUGGAUCGCCUGGUGGAUGCCUUUCGGGGAGG